AACUUUCAACAACGGAUCUCUUGGUUCUCGCAUCGAUGAAGAACGCAGCGAAAUGCGAUAAGUAGUGUGAAUUGCAGAAUUCAGUGAAUCAUCGAAUCUUUGAACGCACAUUGCGCCUCCUGGUAUUCCGGGAGGCAUGCCUGUUCGAGCG
rnacentral:rRNA from 3 species